rnacentral:rRNA from 1 species
UACGUAGGUGGCAAGCGUUGUCCGGAUUUACUGGGCGUAAAGCGCGCGUAGGCGGCUUUGUAAGUUAGAGGUGAAAGCCCGGGGCUCAACCCCGGAACUGCCUUUAAAACUGCAUCGCUUGAAUCCGGGAGAGGUGAGUGGAAUUCCGAGUGUAGAGGUGAAAUUCGUAGAUAUUCGGAAGAACACCAGUGGCGAAGGCGGCUCACUGGACCGGUAUUGACGCUGAGGUGCGAAAGCGUGGGGAGCAAACAGG